CAACUACAACGCAAGACACCACAACGAUGUCUACGACGGAAUCCACCACCUCACAUCCUACCACAACUACUCAAUCAACUACUACACAAGACACAACAACGAUGUCUACGACGGAAUCCACCACCUCACAUCCUACCACAACUACUCAAUCAACUACUUCACAAGACACCACGAUGUCCGCGACGGAAUCCACCACCUCACGUCCUACCACUACUACUCGUAAGAAAACUUCAUUUACAUCACCUC